ACUGCAAAAGAAAGAGCAUCCCCGCUUCAUUUUAUGCUUUUGUAAACAGCUCUGGAGCAAUUGAGUCAAACGACAACGUUGAAACUGUUACCGAUAAUCGCAUGGCAAGAUUGAAACAGAAGAGGAAAUCUUUGCGUGAUAUUUUAAAUCAGAAAUACUGUGAAGCAACUGGAAUGGACAAAGCAAAAGUGCCAUACACUUCUCUUUUGA